GGCUCAGUGGUCCAGGGGUUUGAUUUGCGCUUCAGUUGCGCGAGGUCCCAGGUUCAAAUCCCGGCUGAGCCU
rfam:Echinococcus granulosus EG_S00333, whole genome shotgun sequence.